rnacentral:rRNA from 1 species
CCUACGGGUGGCAGCAGUGGGGAAUAUUGCACAAUGGGCGCAAGCCUGAUGCAGCCAUGCCGCGUGUGUGAAGAAGGCCUUCGGGUUGUAAAGCACUUUCAGCGGGGAGGAAGGCGUUAAGGUUAAUAACCUUGGCGAUUGACGUUACCCGCAGAAGAAGCACCGGCUAACUCCGUGCCAGCAGCCGCGGUAAUACGGAGGGUGCAAGCGUUAAUCGGAAUUACUGGGCGUAAAGCGCACGCAGGCGGUCUGUCAAGUCGGAUGUGAAAUCCCCGGGCUCAACCUGGGAACUGCAUUCGAAACUGGCAGGCUAGAGUCUAGUAGAGGGGGGUAGAAUUCCAGGUGUAGCGGUGAAAUGCGUAGAGAUCUGGAGGAAUACCGGUGGCGAAGGCGGCCCCCUGGACAAAGACUGACGCUCAGGUGCGAAAGCGUGGGGAGCAAACAGGAUUAGAUACCCCGGUAGUC